GACAGCAUGACGUAGUGGUUUGAGCUUCGGGCUACGGCUCUGGAGACCAGGGUUCAAAUCCCUGCUUGGUCA